GACGAACGCUGGCGGCGGGCUUAACACAUGCAAGUCGAACGGAAAGGCCCUGCUUGUGUGGGGUGCUCGAGUGGCGAACGGGUGAGUAACACGGGAGUAACCUGCCCUUGACUUUGGGAUAACUUCAGGAAACUGGGGCUAAUACCGGAUAGGAGCUCCUGCUGCAUGGUGGGGGUUGGAAAGUUUCGGCGGUUGGGGAUGGACUCGCGGCUUAUCAGCUUGUUGGUGGGGUAGUGGCUUACCAAGGCUUUGACGGGUAGCCGGCCUGAGAGGGUGACCGGCCACAUUGGGACUGAGAUACGGCCCAGACUCCUACGGGAGGCAGCAGUGGGAAAUAUUGCACAAUGGGCGGAAGCCUGAUGAAGAAACGCCGCGUGCGGGAUGACGGCCUUCGGGUUGUAAACCGCUUUCGCCUGUGACGAAGCGUGAGUGACGGUAAUGGGUAAAGAAGCACCGGCUAACUACGUG
rnacentral:rRNA from 1 species